AUUUGAGCUAAUAUCGAAAUCCAUUCUUAAUAUAGCUGUUAUGGCUAAUAACUCAUAUAUUUGCAGAUAUUACAUACAUUAAAUAAAUAUAUUUCACUAUCCUUUCGACACCAUGAAAAAAAUGACCACACCGCUGACUUCACCAUAGCUUCUCUGCUACAGGUAAACUCAUCACAAUCCUGCGCUGCAUCGCCAUCACUGUCACAUGACAAAGUUCCUCCCCUCCUCCA